CAGCAGCCACGGUAAUACGAAGGGGGCUAGCGUUGCUCGGAAUGACUGGGCGUAAAGGGCGCGUAGGCGGUUUUGACAGUCAGAUGUGAAAUUCCUGGGCUUAACCUGGGGGCUGCAUUUGAGACGCCAAGACUAGAAUGUGAGAGAGGGUUGUGGAAUUCCCAGUGUAGAGGUGAAAUUCGUAGAUAUUGGGAAGAACACCGGUGGCGAAGGCGGCAACCUGGCUCAUUACUGACGCUGAGGCGCGAAAGCGUGGGGAGCAAACAGGAUUAGAUACCCCCGUAGUCCCUGUCUCUUAUAA
rnacentral:rRNA from 1 species